GUCAGAAAGGGAAAGACAAAUACCAUGUGCUAUCACUUUAUGUGGACUCUAAGAUAUGGCACAAGUGAAUGUAUAUGCAAAACAGUAACAGAUUCACAUAGAACAGACUUGUGGCUGCCAAGGGGAAGGGGGAAGGGGUGGGAUGGAUGGGGUUUUGGGGGUUGGUAGAUGCAAACUAUAAUAUUUGGAAUGGUUAAGCAGUGAGGUCCUUCUUUGUAGCACAGGGAACUGUAUCCAGUCUCUUGGGAUAAAACAUAAUGGAAGAUAGUAUGAGAAAAAGAAUGUAUAUAUAUGUGUGACUGGGUCACUAUGCUAUACAGCAGAAGUUGGCACAAUACUGUAAAUCAACCACACUUAAAAAAUCAAAAAUAAAUAAGUAAAGCUUUCCACAUUGUAAAAAUAAUUCUCUCUUCUGAUAUACUUGAACGUCAUUCUUCUUUCCAAUGGCUGUUACAAAAUUCUCAAACCUAUAUCUACCCACGUCUUGUAUUUUUUUUCAUACUUUUUCUCUAUUUUUAUUUUCACUCUCUCUUAUUUCAUUGACUUAUUUCUGUGAUUAAUCCCCUGAACUUAGAAACUGCUAAAAUUUGAGACUAAAUAGAAAAAUGUAAUUAAAGAAUCCAUCUUAAAAGAGGUAAUGUGAAUUUGAUUUUAUGCAAAGAAAGAAAAAAUUCUGGAUAGAAGAGUAUCUCAACUUCUUUAAUUUACAUACCCCUUAAGUAUACCAAACUCCCCCAAACCUUCUUUUAAUGUUAUUUAACAUUUCAGAAUACAUAUUAUGUGGUGUAAUGAAAAAAUUGUAUUAUGAAACUAAUUUUUAUGUUGAAUAUGUUUUUUUCUAACUAUCCAAGACUUUCUUCUAACCUUUCUCUCAAUUUGAUGUGUUAUUCUGAGGGGUUAUGAUGCCCUCUUACAGAAGAAGCAUAUCACCAUAUUUUCCAAAUAAUUGAGCAAAAAAUUCCUUUCCAUAUGUGUGUCCAUGAAUUAUUGUGUAGAAAUCCCCUUGUGGACUUUUGGGACAAAUAUUUCUGUUAUAAGUCAGAACAUCAGAUCUGUAGGGAAAUUUUACCAAAUUGUGGCAAAAUGAAGCCAUGUCCAUUGUCAAGUAGUCAGCUUAAUAAUUACAAGUUCAUAUGAAAUUUUAUGAAAUCUAUAGGGGCAAAUGGCAAACAAAACAUUUAUAGAUCAUCUCUAUUUGCAAGGUACCUGCUCUGGUGCAUGUGAACCUACUGUACUAUAGGCAUAAACAUAGCAUAGGUGAGGAUGAAAAUAUGAAAGGGACUAAACAAAACACUACAAAUAAGGCAGUUUUUUGUUUUGUUUUGAUUUUUUUUUCUUUUCUGUUUACCCUUUAUCUCCCCUUUUUGGUAGUCUGAUGCUUUACAUUGUAUGAUUUGUUUAUAUUGCAAAAAAAAUCAUCUGAGAAAUUCAGCUUGUCCAAAAUGCCAACUCAGAGUGUCUCAGAGAGGCUUUCAGCCAUAGGCCAGGUCCAGGAUGCAAAUGCUGGGACCAGGAAUAAAACAUACACAGGCUCUAGAGUUAGACUUAAUCAUAAUUAUACAGCAGGAAUAUGUUCUUUCUAUAAGGAUAUUGAGGAUUGCAAAUGAGGAGAGUGGGGAAGGACCAUGGACCUAGAAUCUGUGAGUUGAUGAAAAAUUUUAUAUAUCACUAUGAGAAAAAUGCUUUGUUGUACGUUGGCUGGUUGGCUGUAAAUCUCAAAGUUCAACAUAGGAAAGAAGGAAAUGUUUCCAGACAAAGAAUUAGAUUUAAGGACCCCAAUUUAAACAAUGCCGGUGGAAACAAUCCAAACUGGUAAACCAAAUUCAACUGCAGGAAACAUGAAACAUCAAAUAAAAGAACUAUAAGUAUAAUGAUAAAAGAACUCUAAGUAUAAUAGCUACCUCAUACAUGGGCUAGGAUAUAUCAAGUGACAGAAUCUACUUGGUUCAUAGGUGUGGAAAGCUGAAAAAUGGUUCCCAAAGAUAUCCAUGUACUAAUCCCUAGAAUCUAUCACUUUGUUACUUUACCUAGCAAAAGGCUCAUUAAAGAUGAGAGUAAAUUAAGGAUUUUGAGGUGCAGAGAUUAUAUUGGGUUAUCUUGAGCUCAAUAUAAUAAUAAGGUCCUUAGAAGAAGGAAGCAGAAGAGUCAGAGUCAGAGAAGAUAUGUGACUAUGGAAGCAGCGGGAGAGAAGGGCCUAUGGAAAUAGAAGUAGGGGUCAGAAUGAUAUGGAUCGUAAGCCAGUAACUAUGGGGAGCCUCUUGAAACUGGAAAAGUCAAGUGAACAGAUUCUUCCUUAGAACCUCCAGAAGGAACCAAGCCAUGCAAAAACCAUUUUAGAAUUCUGACCUCAAGAACAGAAAGAUCAUACAUUUGUAUUCCUUUAAGGCUCUUUAUUUGUGGUAAUUUAUCACAGCAACAAUGGGAAACUAACAAGAGGAAUGAGGUGACAUGAGUCAGAGACCCAGGCAGUGAGAUACAACAUAAUAAAGGUUAGAAAUAACAUAUUUACAUAGAGGUAAUAAGAAGAUAGGAACAUAAGAACAAUAUGAUCUGGAAGAACAUCCAAGGAAAAAGCAAUAAAAAAUGAGCUGUCCUUACAUUUGUUGCAAAAAAUGCCUAUAAGUUGUUCCCUUCCCAUAGAUAAGAGAAGGCUAAGUUAAUAGACACACCUGAAUGGAGGUAAGGUUUGUGGGUUUAGAAGACAGGCAAAAACAAUACCAUGAUCCAUUAAAACACAGGAAAAUAUGAGUGACCUCUACAAUGCCAUGAUUAAAAAGUUCAGGGUAAGUCUAAAUAUUGCUGAUUUUUGUGUCAUCUGCUAUGGACAUAUCCAUCAUCCAUAAUUUAUGAGAAAAAUUGCUUUAUUUCCCCAUAAGGAAAAGAGUGACUCAUUACCCCUACUCUCUCACUUUUCUUUACCUAUCUUGAAUAGCUUUUUUUUUCAGGUAAGUUUCCACUAAAAUGUCCUUCAUUAUUCAUUUUAUAUCUUAAUAAUUUAGCAAGAACACUGUCUUACAUAGCUUCACUGCAGGUUGCUGGCAUGUAUAACUUUCAAUAAGGACUCACUAACCACACACUAAUAACCCUCAGAUAAAUAAUUAAAUAUACUCAGGGCACUGACACCCUGUUAUUCUAACUCUAGAGAGAAAAGCAAAUAUAAUUUUCUUAUACACAAGUGUUGCUUCUUCUGUAAUCUUGGCAUACCCAAGGUUGAGCUCAUAACUCACCCCAGACUAAAUGUUUCUGAAGUUCUCUAUAGCUAAGGUACUUGCAAUGCCCUGCUGUAAAAGAAAGGCAGAGGGAAGAAUUGCCACUGUGAGGUCCUGAGUAAGAUUAAUGAUAAAAGCUUGUUUGACUUUUCCCUCUAACUCAUUGACCUUGUAUAUUAAGCCUUCCCUUUAAUCCUACUACAAGGUUAGUCCAGAAUUGGGAAAUAUACAUGUGCUGCAUGCUUCUCAUGCUUCUCAUGUCUAUUAUGGAUAUUACUAAUCAGAGUACAAUUUCUUUCUAAAUCUAUCACAGUUCAAUUUUCUCCUAAAGUGGGGCAGCCUCACAAUUUUCCUUAGAGUAAAGUAGAUGGCUAUUUCCUUGUUCAUAACACCUAUUCCACACGCAACUGAUUUUCCUUGGUGAAUUUUUCUCCAUAUUCAAAUCUAAAACUAAUCAACAACUUUAGGAAGUAUCAGUUGUUCUCAAACACAAGCCAUUUUUGAAUCUGGUCUAGGGUGACUUUGUUGCACUCUUCAAUUCUCGGGUAGUUUUUAAAUGCAUUAUUUGAGGGUUGUCUCUGAAUGCCAUUGCUGUAUACUACCAGUGCUAAACCCAUCUCCUCUUUUGAAUCCACUAUUGAUAAAGGAAUACUAUUAACUCAUCUGUUGAAACUGAUAUUCAUCUUCUCCAUUAGACCAUCUUUAUGGACCUUAGAAGCUGUGUAAUCUUUAGCCUCAGACUUUGUAAGAAUUGAGUUUAUAGUAGCAAUGUUCUUUCUACCAUUCUGUUUUAUACUGAUUUCCCAGGAGAAUCAGCGUAGUUCUAAGAUCAAACGAAUUUUUAGGACCAUCUGCCUGAAAUUAUUUUUGACCAAGUUUUGUCAUAUUCAAAGAAAUCUUGACUGUAUCAGUACAUGUAUAUUUAUAUAUAAAAAUAUAUAGGAAGUCUUGCUUUGCACAUUUUUAAUAUCCAUGAUUUUCAGUUACUAGAUUUUGGUGAAAUAAUACCUUUCUCUCAACAGUAUGGGUCAAAUUUCAGUUACCAAGGUAUAUUAAUUCUCUGUAGUUACAUAAAGUAUAAAUUUCAUUGAUAACUUUUCAGGCCAUAAAUCAUUGUAUGAAUAAAAGAAUAUAUCAUGAUUAGGGGCUCAUCACACCAUUUCUUUCCAGAUUUGUCAAUGCUUAUUUACUUCACUUUUGUUUGUUACUCAGUUCAGACACAGACAGCAAUAUAUGUAGUUGUGUUAUCUCCUUGUCUUCAUGUCUUGGCUCAGUGAUUAAUGAUCCCAACUAGUAUCCAUGAGGAUGUGGGUUCAAUCCCUGUCCUCCCUCACUGGGUUAAAGAUCCAGAAUUACCCUGAGCUGUGGUAUAGGUCACAGA
rnacentral:lncRNA from 1 species